rnacentral:rRNA from 1 species
AUGUCUAAAGCUUUUCACGAUGUCGUCUCGUCCGAGGUCGUCUCCGUCGGCCAACACCUGUGGAGGAUCGACUGUUACCCGCGGGGGCCCGUACUCUACUCCCAAGAGCACAAGGGAAACUAUGUCUCCAUCUUCCUUAAGCACAUGAGCGAUUCCAAAAGCGUACGCGCCAGCUUCGUCGCCUUCAUAAAGGAUAGAGAUGACCAGCCAUCAGAAACACGAGUCAGGACUUACCUUCACGAGUUCACAAUCAUGGACGACUGGGGGUGGCAUCGGUUUGUGGAAAGAACGGUCCUCGAGGAAGACUAUGUUAUUCAAGGGCACGUCACGUUCGUAUGCACCAUCAUGGUCAUGCGUGAUGCUACGCCUGUCACCGUGCCCCCAUCCGACAUCAGGAACCAUCUCGGCUGCUUACUGGAUCAGGCAUAUGGGACGGAUGUGUCGUUUACCGUCCACGGCGAGACAUUCCCCGUGAACCGAGCGAUUCUUGCAGCCCGCUCACCCGUCUUCAAGGCAGAGCUCUUUGGGUCCAUGGCCGAAGCUACAAUGGCAUCCAUCACACUGCACGAUAUCACACCUUCAACAUUCAAAUAUUUGCUUCUGUUCAUAUACACAGAUGAGUUUCCUAUUACUACAGAGGAUAACCCCUCCAAUUCCAAUGAGGUAUUGUUUGACUUACUUGCCGCUGCCGAUCGGUACGCACUUGACCGGCUAAAGCUUAUGUGUGCUCAAAAGUUAUGGGAUAAUGUGUCAAUGGAUACAGUUAAAGAUAUUCAGGCUUGCGCUGACAUGUACAAUUGCCUCCAGUUGAAGAACAAGUGCGUUGACUUCAUUGCAAAAGAGAAAAAAGCGAAGAAGUCUCUUGUUUCAAAAACGAUUCGAAGAAGCCCAAGACUUCAUCAGGCUAAGGCACAGAUUUGA